rnacentral:rRNA from 1 species
GACAGCAGCCGCCGCGGGAAUACGAGGGGGGCAAGCGUUGUUCGGAAUUAUUGGGCGUAAAGGGUGCGUAGGCGGUUUGGCAAGUUUGGUGUGAAAUCUUCGGGCUCAACUCGAAGUCUGCAUUGGAAACUGCCGGGCUUGAGUAUGGGAGAGGUGAGUGGAAUUUCCGGUGUAGCGGUGAAAUGCGUAGAUAUCGGAAGGAACACCUGUGGCGAAAGCGGCUCACUGGACCAUAACUGACGCUGAGGCGCGAAAGCUAGGGGAGCAAACAGGAUUAGAUACCCCUGUAGUCCCUGUCUCUUAUAC